AUGCACAUUAAAACCAUUAAAACACAUGCAUGUCCUCUCCUGAAUUUGACUGAACACUGAACACUUACUAUAGCUACACAUUCCAGCGUCAUGGCCUCAUCUCUGACAGUGUUGCUCCUACUGGCCUCAGCUCUCUGUGUGAACCUUACCACACCCACCACCCAUCUCUCUGCCAGUGAUACCCCUUGCUGCAUAAAGUGUGAUGAAGAAAACGGAUAUGCAAAGUACUUCAGUGUUGUCGCUUGGAACAAGAUGUGUGGGGAAUCGUGCAUCAAGCCGUCGGAUUAUUGGAAGUUCAAGAUUUUCGAACACAAUCUGACAAGGGCCACCAAUAAUACACCAUGUGCCGAUCGUAACUUUACAUUGUAUGAAAAAACUGAAGCGCAUGGAUUUGGACCUAUCAAGGUUUCCAUCGAUUUUUAUAGCUAUAACAAAACUGCUACGACGUAACUUCUAUUGUGACUUCUUUCUCAUCAGAGUCGAGUCGUUCUAUUAUUGAAAUGAUAAUUUCUCUCGAUUUACGUCUAUUAUAAUUAUCUAAUUAUGCGGCUAUUAUAACAAGCUAGCUAGGGCAUAAGUGCAUAUAAUUAUGUUCUUGUCUAGA